rnacentral:misc_RNA from 1 species
UGGCUCUCCCAUCGAUGAAGAACGCAGCGAAAUGCGAUAAGUAAUGUGAAUUGCAGAAUUCAGUGAAUCAUCGAAUCUUUGAACGCACCUUGCGCCCUUUGGUAUUCCGAAGGGCAUGCCUGUUUGAGUGUCAUUAAAUUCUCAACCUUAUAGCUUUUGCGAGUUUUAUAAGGCUUGGAUGUGAGGGUUAUUGCUGGCUUCCUUCAGUGUGAUGGUCAGCUCCCUUUAAAUGUAUUAGUGGAAUCCUUUGUGGAUCGUCACUGAGUGUGAUAAUUUUGCGCUCCUUGACUUGAACUACUCAUUAAUGGAAUCUGCUUAUAACCGUCCUUCAGUUGGACAAUUUCAUUGACAAUUUGACCUCAAAUCAGGUAGGACUACCCGCUGA